rnacentral:rRNA from 1 species
UACGUAGGGGGCGAGCGUUGUCCGGAAUUAUUGGGCGUAAAGCGCGCGCAGGCGGUCUCUUAAGUCUGAUGUGAAAGCCCACGGCUCAACCGUGGAGGGUCAUUGGAAACUGGGGGACUUGAGGGCAGGAGAGGAGAGCGGAAUUCCACGUGUAGCGGUGAAAUGCGUAGAGAUGUGGAGGAACACCAGUGGCGAAGGCGGCUCUCUGGCCUGCACCUGACGCUGAGGCGCGAAAGCGUGGGGAGCAAACAGGAUUAGAUACCCCGGUAGUCU